rnacentral:rRNA from 1 species
GAGUUUGAUCCUGGCUCAGAACGAACGCUGGCGGCAGGCCUAACACAUGCAAGUCGAGCGAGGUAGCAAUACCUAGCGGCGGACGGGUGAGUAACGCGUGGGAACGUGCCCUUUGCUACGGAAUAGCCCCGGGAAACUGGGAGUAAUACCGUAUGUGCCCUUAGGGGGAAAGAUUUAUCGGCAAAGGAUCGGCCCGCGUUGGAUUAGGUAGUUGGUGGGGUAAUGGCCUACCAAGCCGACGAUCCAUAGCUGGUUUGAGAGGAUGAUCAGCCACACUGGGACUGAGACACGGCCCAGACUCCUACGGGAGGCAGCAGUGGGGAAUCUUAGACAAUGGGCGCAAGCCUGAUCUAGCCAUGCCGCGUGAGCGAUGAAGGCCUUAGGGUUGUAAAGCUCUUUCGUGGGGGAAGAUAAUGACUGUACCCCAAGAAGAAGCCCCGGCUAACUCCGUGCCAGCAGCCGCGGUAAUACGGAGGGGGCUAGCGUUGUUCGGAAUUACUGGGCGUAAAGCGCACGUAGGCGGACCAGAAAGUCAGGGGUGAAAUCCCGGGGCUCAACCCCGGAACUGCCUUUGAAACUCCUGGUCUUGAGGUCGAGAGAGGUGAGUGGAAUUCCGAGUGUAGAGGUGAAAUUCGUANAUAUUCGGAGGAAACACCANUGGCGAAGGNGGCUCACUGGGCUCGAUACUGGACGCUGANGUGCGAAAAGCGUGGGGGGAGCCAAACAGGGAUUAGAUUACCCUGNUAGUCCC